CCCGGAUGACGGCCCAGCGGUCUCUGGCUUGGACAUUCACACCCAGAGCAGCCACAGUGCAGGCUGUUGAGAAACAAGAACAUGUGUAGAGCAGACAUGGACCAAGAGACACCCUUCCCAACAAGGGAAACACGCCAUUGAACUUCCGCAGGACCCUGGUCUGAGGAAUGCUCAUCAGAGUCAGAAAUUGGCUCCAGGAAAGUUCCCUUGAGGCACCACCUGAGCUCUGGAGGGAGGCCCUGAUGCAUUGAUGUGCACCCGCUUCUAGUCAUGGACAGUGAACCAAAUACAGAAAGGAGCAUCUUUGCUCGUCCGGGCCCUCACGGGACAGGAAGUAGAGGUGGGCCUUCAGAGCGCUCUAGUUCUUCCUUCUAUUUCUGUAGACAUGCUUCAGAGUAACUUUCUCACCCUCUGACAUGCCGCUGCCUCUCGCCUCUGAGCUGGAUUCUUCCUCCGAUGAGAAAGCAUCUACAGUGACAGCCCCCGACCUGGUCCUCAUGCUGCUGGGGCUCAUGCUGUUGAUGUGGGCUCCACCCUGCGAACCUACUGUGCUGCACCUGACGGCCAGGCCCUCUCAGCCCGUGGAGGGAAGCUCAGUGAACCUGACCUGCAACAUCCGGGUCCCUUUAGGGAAGCUGGACGUCCCCCUCCAGUUCCGCUUCUUCAGAAACGGCCAGGUCCUGUGGCCGGACUGGAGCAGCUCCGCAGAGCUCCAGCUCCCCACUGUGUGGAGGGAAGACACAGGGUCCUACUGGUGUGAAGGAAAGACCACGGCAUCCAGAGUCACUCGGAGCUCAAGGGUCCAGAUACAGGUGCAGAGAGUCCCCGUCUGCAAUGUGAGCCUGGAGACGCAGCCUCCCGGCGGGCAGGUGCAGAAGGGACAGAGGCUGGCUCUCGUCUGCGAGGUGGCCACCGGCACUGGAGAUAUCACCUUCCUCUGGUACAAAGGCGCCCUGGGUUUGAGCCUGGAAACAAAGACCCAGCGCUCUCUGGCAGCGAAGUUCGAGAUCGCGGCGGUGGGGGACAGUGACACGGGCAAGUACUACUGCGCGGCCGACAACGGCUACGGCCCCAGCCUCAGCGAGCUGGUGAGCGUCACCGUCAGAAUUCCAGUGUCCCGCCCCGUCCUCACCGUCAGGGCGCCCGGGGCCCAGGCCGAGGAGGGGGACAUGGUGGAGCUUCGCUGUGAGGCCCAGAGCGGCUCUCCCCCGAUUCUGUACCGAUUUUAUCACAAGAACAUCACCCUGGGGAGGAGCUCAGCUCAUGCUGGAGGAGGAGCGUCCUUCAACCUCUCUCUGACUGCAGAACAUUCUGGAAACUACUCCUGCGAGGCCGACAAUGGCCUGGGGGCCUGGCGCAGCGAGGCAGUGCCCCUCAGCGUCACAGUGCCCACGGAGGACAGGCGAGAACGCCUGGCCUCGGGAAUCCUCGAGGGGCUCCUCGGCGUCCUUGGUCCCGUCAUUCUGGCCGUAUGCUGCUGUGGGCUCAAGAAAAGACUAGGAAGACGUCCAUCCAGGAGCCCAUGCAGGAGCCCUCCGAGCCCGGUGCCAUCAGUUUCCAGCUACGUCAACUCACCUGCCCCGCUGCAGGGACAGUCUAUGUAUGAAAACGUGAAUGUUGUCUGCGGGGACGAGGUUUACUCCUUGGUGUACCGCACGCAGCAGGAACAGCCACCAGCAGUACCGCCCCGGAGAACGCGUGUCGAGGACCAGGAUGCCUCAGCCAUCUAUUUUAGGCUGAAGAAUGCAAACGUUAGGGAUGAGGACUAUGAAGACACUAUGUAAAGUUCCGGAAGAUUCUGCUCUUUGGAAACCAUCCAUGACUCCAAGCCUCAGAACCAGUACACUCUUCAGAGACCCUGGGGUAGUCAGCUCUCCAGUACUUCCCACCCCAGUGCCUCCCCCCGAGACUAUUCCUACAACCAGCCCAGAGAACCAACAUGAACGCGGGGGUGGGAAGGACCUAGUGACCAGAACCCCAUACCUACUGGUUCUUCUAGGCUCAGGUCGAAUUGUGCUCUAACUCUUUCCUGUGAGAGGACACAAUGUGGGUGAAAGAACUUGGGAUCUUGGGGUGGAAGGACAGUGCGGCUCACCCAGCGUGCAGGGACGCAAGGUUAGUGAUUCCGCGGGGCUGCCGCACACGGACAUGGGCGCCGGUCACCUUGUAAGUGUGGACCAGCUCUGUACUGAUCUCCAGAACAGAAAUCUCAUCCUGCCACUUAAGUGACCCAGCCUGUUUCUGCGUAAAAUAUGUGACUCGGUGCAUUUGGGGUCACUGCCACCAAACAGAAUCCAAGCAAAGUUUCGUAACUACUUACCGUGGGUGCACUUAACUUUGGAGACAUAUUUUGUACGCACAGGCCAGUCUAGAUGCCUUGGUGAGUUUCACCACAUCCAAAGUGCUAUACUUGCUGCAGCCUUUAGAAGCUUUAUGAAUACAAUUUUUCUUCUUUUAUUCACAAACGUUUUAAAAA